rnacentral:lncRNA from 1 species
GUUGCUUUCUACACCAAAGCCUAUGCUCUUCCUACUCACGUAUUUCAGAAAGGAGUUUUAAAAUUACCUAAGCAUCCAUUCUUAUAAUCAUGAUUACACCUUAAUAUAGUAACUGGGCUCUCUCUGAUAAGAGCUUCCAUGGUGAAAACAAGAACAGCAUGCUCAUGAAACAAGAAUCGGCAUAUCUAUGAGGACACCUCAGCAAAUGAGGAUAGAGAACCAAGGAGAAAAAGGUGGAAUCACAAGAGAGACAUGCUGUGCCACUGUUCAUCAGCUGUCACCAGGUCAUAGUAUCUACCCACUCUUCCUUGCAUUUGCUUUUUCCUGGAAGAAGAUGAUUCUCAGUACAAGAGAAUAUAAGAGUGGUGAGUUGAAUUCCAGCCCAGGUCUGCAGGAAUAGCUACCCCCUUGGAUUAUGAGGCAGAGGAGCCCUCUGGAAGGCAUAUGCAAAUCCACAUUGAUUUAAUCGAUGGUGGUUGAUUUAAUCAAUGGAAGUAGGUGGUUUCCUCACUUUAUUCAGAAAAGAAGACACUGAUUGAAAUACAUAUUUGCCCAACAUCACACUGCCCAACAUCUACAAGUGGUAGAGUUUAAGUUCCAGUUGCCUCAAGGACCUUCCCAGGAAACCUAUAACACUUACCUGUAUGUAGCUUGCAGGUGGAAUUGACUUGUAAGAACUUGUCCACAUCCCAGAGAGGUAUGAGGCUGUAUGAGUAUGUGCUCCUGAGGGCCAGGGCAGAAUGAAAGAUGGCGUGGCUUCAGCAAGCUGACAAGGUUCAUAGCCACUCUCCAGGAGGAUAUUCAGGGGGACUGGCAGACCUGAUACCAGAGCAGUUGGCUAGGGAAGGUCUAUUCACAGGCAGUGGAUGCUGCACACAGUUCCCUCACCGAGAUUCCCUUCAGAGACUCAGCCACCUCCAUGUGAAUCAUCUCAUUUUCUGCAGCUGGGACUUGGAUUAAACUGUAUUCAGUGUGCUCUUCCUCACAUGCAGAUCAGCUCAUAUAAAUAUACUAAAUUUAUGUAUGUGUCACGUACAGCUCAACUUGGGCCAUCUUAAAUCCUGCU